AUAUCAUGGUCCUACUUCUCAUGCAAGUACACCACAUUCAGAAAUCACUCAUUCAGCAUUUCACUGGUAUGGAAACAAAACUGAAUCAAAACUAGGAGAGUUUUGAGAACAUAACAUCUUUACCAUCUUUCAGUAGUGAAAGAACAAAAGGUUUUGAUGGUUAGCACAUUGGUCUUAAAUUCCAGCAGGAGAAUGUGCUAGAUGAGAUGCUGAAAACAGAUGUACAACACCAGAUGAAAAAAUGCUGCUCCGUGUUGAAUUUCUGUGGACAGCUGGAGUGGAAAUGAGAGAGACUGGGAGAACAUCUGAGAGACAGCCAAGGCCAACCCACCAUUUUUACAAUGCAAAAAUAAAU